GACAGAGGUGCCAAGCGUUAGGCGGAAUCACUGGGCUUAAAGCGUGUGUAGGCGGGUCGUUAAGUACCUUGUGAAAUCCCCCGGCUCAACCGGGGAACGGCUGGGUAUACUGGCGAUCUUGAGCCACCUAGGGGCAGUCGGAACAAGUGGUGGAGCGGUGAAAUGCGUAGAUAUCACUUGGAACGCCAAUGGUGAGAACAGACUGCUGGGGGUGUGCUGACGCUGAGACACGAAAGCCAGGGGAGCAAACGGG
rnacentral:rRNA from 1 species